rnacentral:rRNA from 1 species
UACGGGGGGGGCAAGCGUUGUUCGGAAUUACUGGGCGUAAAGGGCUCGUAGGUGGCCAACUAAGUCAGACGUGAAAUCCCCAGGCUUAACCUGGGAACUGCGUCUGAUACUGGAUGGCUUGAAUUCGGGAGAGGGAUGCAGAAUUCCAGGUGUAGCGGUGAAAUGCGUAGAUAUCUGGAGGAAUACCGGUGGCGAAGGCGGCAUCCUGGACCGAAAUUGACACUGAUGAGCGAAAGCUAGGGGAGCAAACGGG